GGUAGAAUUAGUUUAAUUGGUAAAACUACAUCCUGUGGCGAUGCUAGAUUCCAGUUCGAAUCUGGAACUCUGCC
rnacentral:tRNA from 3 species